GGUUAAGCGACUAAGCGUACACGGUGGAUGCCCUGGCAGUCAGAGGCGAUGAAGGACGUGCUAAUCUGCGAUAAGCGUCGGUAAGGUGAUAUGAACCGUUAUAACCGGCGAUUUCCGAAUGGGGAAACCCAGUGUGAUUCGUCACACUAUCAUUACGUGAAUACAUAGCGUAAUGAAGCGAACCGGGGGAACUGAAACAUCUAAGUACCCCGAGGAAAAGAAAUCAACCGAGAUUCCCCCAGUAGCGGCGAGCGAACGGGGAGCAGCCCAGAGUCUGAAUCAGCUUGUGUGUUAGUGGAACGGUCUGGAAAGUCCGACGGUACAGGGUGAUAGUCCCGUACACCAAAAUGCACAGGUUGUGAACUCGAAGAGUAGGGCGGGACACGUGGUAUCCUGUCUGAAUAUGGGGGGACCAUCCUCCAAGGCUAAAUACUCCUGACUGACCGAUAGUGAACCAGUACCGUGAGGGAAAGGCGAAAAGAACCCCGGCGAGGGGAGUGAAAAAGAACCUGAAACCGUGUACGUACAAGCAGUGGGAGCAUCCUUUUGGGUGUGACUGCGUACCUUUUGUAUAAUGGGUCAGCGACUUAUAUUCUGUAGCAAGGUUAACCGUAUAGGGGAGCCGAAGGGAAACCGAGUCUUAACUGGGCGUUAAGUUGCAGGGUAUAGACCCGAAACCCGGUGAUCUAGCCAUGGGCAGGUUGAAGGUUGGGUAACACUAACUGGAGGACCGAACCGACUAAUGUUGAAAAAUUAGCGGAUGACUUGUGGCUGGGGGUGAAAGGCCAAUCAAACCGGGAGAUAGCUGGUUCUCCCCGAAAGCUAUUUAGGUAGCGCCUCGUGAAUUCAUCUUCGGGGGUAGAGCACUGUUUCGGCUAGGGGGUCAUCCCGACUUACCAACCCGAUGCAAACUGCGAAUACCGAAGAAUGUUAUCACGGGAGACACACGGCGGGUGCUAACGUCCGUCGUGAAGAGGGAAACAACCCAGACCGCCAGCUAAGGUCCCAAAGUCAUGGUUAAGUGGGAAACGAUGUGGGAAGGCACAGACAGCCAGGAUGUUGGCUUAGAAGCAGCCAUCAUUUAAAGAAAGCGUAAUAGCUCACUGGUCGAGUCGGCCUGCGCGGAAGAUGUAACGGGGCUAAACCAUGCACCGAAGCUGCGGCAGCGACACUAUGUGUUGUUGGGUAGGGGAGCGUUCUGUAAGCCGUUGAAGGUGUAUCGUGAGGUAUGCUGGAGGUAUCAGAAGUGCGAAUGCUGACAUAAGUAACGAUAAUGCGGGUGAAAAACCCGCACGCCGGAAGACCAAGGGUUCCUGUCCAACGUUAAUCGGGGCAGGGUGAGUCGACCCCUAAGGCGAGGCCGAAAGGCGUAGUCGAUGGGAAACAGGUUAAUAUUCCUGUACUUGGUGUUACUGCGAAGGGGGGACGGAGAAGGCUAUGUUAGCCGGGCGACGGUUGUCCCGG
rnacentral:rRNA from 1 species